rnacentral:rRNA from 1 species
CACACGACUCUCGGCAACGGAUAUCUCGGCUCUCGCAUCGAUGAAGGACGUAGCGAAAUGCGAUACCUGGUGUGAAUUGCAGAAUCCCGCGAACCAUCGAGUCUUUGAACGCAAGUUGCGCCCGAGGCCACUCGGCCGAGGGCACGCCUGCCUGGGCGUCACGC